GAUGAACGCUAGCGGCAGGCCUAAUACAUGCAAGUCGGACGGGAUUUGGGAGCUUGCUCCUAAUGAGAGUGGCGCACGGGUGCGUAACACGUAUGUAACCUACCUUAAUCAGGGGGAUAGCCUCUCGAAAGAGAGAUUAACACCGCAUAAUAUAUUUUUAUGGCAUCGUAGAAAUAUCAAAUAUUUAUAGGAUUAAGAUGGGCAUGCGGAACAUUAGCUAGUUGGUAAGGUAACGGCUUACCAAGGCUACGAUGUUUAGGGGAUCUGAGAGGAUGACCCCCCACACUGGUACUGAGACACGGACCAGACUCCUACGGGAGGCAGCAGUAAGGAAUAUUGGUCAAUGGGCGCAAGCCUGAACCAGCCAUGCCGCGUGCAGGAAGACGGCCCUAUGGGUUGUAAACUGCUUUUGUACCGGAAUAAACCCUUUUACGUGUAAGAGGCUGAAUGUACGGUAAGAAUAAGGAUCGGCUAACUCCGUGCCAGCCGCCGCCGUAA
rnacentral:rRNA from 1 species